rnacentral:rRNA from 1 species
GAUGAACGCUGGCGGCGUGCCUAAUACAUGCAAGUCGAGCGAACAGACGAGGAGCUUGCUCCUCUGACGUUAGCGGCGGACGGGGGAGUAACACGUGGAUAACCUACCUAUAAGACUGGGAUAACUUCGGGAAACCGGAGCUAAUACCGGAUAAUAUAUUGAACCGCAUGGUUCAAUAGUGAAAGACGGUUUUGCUGUCACUUAUAGAUGGAUCCGCGCCGCAUUAGCUAGUUGGUAAGGUAACGGCUUACCAAGGCAACGAUGCGUAGCCGACCUGAGAGGGUGAUCGGCCACACUGGAACUGAGGCACGGUGCAGACUCCUACGGGAGGCAGCAGUAGGGAAUCUUCCGGCAUGGGCGAAAGCCUGACGGAGCAACGCCGCGUGAGUGAUGAAGGUCUUCGGAUCGUAGAACUCUGUUAUUAGGGAAGAAGAAAUGUGUAAGUAACUAUGCACGUCUUGACGGUACCUAAUCAGAAAGCCACGGCUAACUACCUG